GACGAACGCUGGCGGCGUGCCUAAUACAUGCAAGUAGAACGCACAGUUUAUACCGUAGCUUGCUACACCAUAGACUGUGAGUUGCGAACGGGUGAGUAACGCGUAGGUAACCUGCCUGGUAGCGGGGGAUAACUAUUGGAAACGAUAGCUAAUACCGCAUAAUAUUGAUUAUUGCAUGAUAAUUGAUUGAAAGAUGCUAUUGCAUCACUACCAGAUGGACCUGCGUUGUAUUAGCUAGUAGGUGAGGUAACGGCUCACCUAGGCGACGAUACAUAGCCGACCUGGGAGGGUGAUCGGCCACACUGGGACUGAGACACGGCCCAGACUCCUACGGGAGGCAGCAGUAGGGAAUCUUCGGCAAUGGACGAAAGUCUGACCGAGCAACGCCGCGUGAGUGAAGAAGGUCUUCGGAUCGUAAAGCUCUGUUGUAAGAGAAGAACGGGUGUGAGAGUGGAAAGUUCACACUGUGACGGUAUCUUACCAGAAAGGGACGGCUAACUACGUG
rnacentral:rRNA from 1 species